AAAGAAUUAGUUAAAUUAACAUUAGUAUGUCAAGCUAAAAUUAUUAGAUUAAUCUAAUAUUCUUUA
rnacentral:tRNA from 1 species